UGAGGAUCUCCUGCAGUGCCACAGGAGCUCUUCUGUCCUGCCUUUCUUUGCAGCUGAACCUGCUGGUGAAGGUGGUGCAGCUUCCCAAGCCACGUCCAGGACUGAGCCUCUGGGAGAUGCUGAGGAUGCAGCCAGCACCACAACACGUCUUCCCCAUGCCCAGGAAGGCCUCGGAAGUGUCUUCUAUAUGGGAACAGGCUGCUGGGCAGGGUUAAUGGCAGCCCUGCUUCUGUUGGACCUUACUCUCAUAUUGUUCUGUGUCAGAAUCUGGUGUAACUGGAAGAAGAAAUGGAGCACCUCUGGACAGGAGUUUAAUGACGGUGGCUGCACCUCACUCCCAGACAGUUUGAGCUGCUCCUCUGGCCGUCAUAAGGGCCUGGACAGCCCUCUCACCUGUUCUGUGAAGGGAACCCAAGAACAGCCAUCUACAAGGAAACCUCCUACUACCCUUUAGAUCCCACUGCCACCUGCUCUCCCCAUGGGUCUCCCCAAGAUGACUUCAUCCCUUUUUUGAUCUCCCUGCAUCCCAUCCCAGCCAAUUCUCAAGUUCUUCUGGAGACCCCAGGCCCAGCUGAGCACACUCCAGCCCCUCCUGAGACCAACACAUCCCUUCCUCUGCCCCUCAGCUCCCUGGCCUUGCCCUCUAAACAACACUGGAGUUAAGCCCUGCUGCCCCGCCAGGGUAGGCGAUGGCCCCUUCUUCUCUUGCACUACAGAGAUGGAGCUGUCACCCCAGUGUCUGGAGGCAGCAGCAGCAAAGCCCACCCGGCAGCAGCACUGGCUGAGCUCCGUGCCC